rnacentral:lncRNA from 1 species
UUCUGUAUUGGAGUUAAUGGAGCAAAUCUGACUUCCUGAGACAGUACCUCCAGAACUCAAGAAGGAACUUCAUUUCUGCCUAUUUUGGCAAAAUACCCCAUGUGGAAUACUCGAAUAACAAAGCAAAGAUCUCUUCAGGAAGAUACAAUAAUAAUCACAUGAUUCAAUAAAAACUGAGAAGAUUCCUGGUUGUGAGCAUGAAAAAAGACUCAGUGUGACACAACAUUGCUGUUUUCAAUGAAGGCCAAAAGCCAAACAAAAUGGGCAGCCUCUGAAACUGGAAAAGACAAGAAAACUAAUUCUCCUCUAGAGACUCCAGAAAGAUUUGCACCUUGAUUUUAACCCCGUGAGACCCGUGUUGGACUUAUGACCUAUAAAACUUUAAGAUAAUAAAUAUGUGUUGCAUUAAAACACUAAGUGUAGAGUAAUAUGUUACAGUAACAAUAGAAAAUUAAUACAUAAUUUAUGAGGUUAUAACAUAAAUAUGUCUGCCAACUUUGUAAUAUAUUAAAUGAGAAUUCCUUUAAUUCCAUAAGGUACUAAGUUGAUUAAA